AUUGAACGCUGGCGGCAGGCCUAACACAUGCAAGUCGAGCGAGCGGCGGACGGGUGAGUAAUGUAUGGGGACUGCCCGAUAGAGGGGGAUAACUAAUGGAAACGGUGGCUAAUACCGCAUACUAUCGGAUAACCCAUAGGGGAGUAGCUAGUAGGUGGGGUAAAGGCUCACCUAGGAGACGAUCUCUAGCUGGUCCGAGAGGAUGAUCAGCCACACUGGGACUGAGACAGCGCCCAGACUCCUUCGGAGUCAGCAGUGGGGAAUAUUGCACAAUGGGCGCAAGCCUGAUGCAGCCAUGCCGCGUGUAUGAAGACGGCCCUAGGGUUGUAAAGUACUUUCAGUCGGGAGGCGUUACCGACAGAAGAAGCACCGGCUAACUCCGUGCCAGCAGCCGCGGUAAUUC
rnacentral:rRNA from 1 species